UACGUAGGGGGCAAGCGUUAUCCGGAUUUACUGGGUGUAAAGGAAGCGUAGGCGGACUUUUAAGUGAGAUGUGAAAUACCCGGGCUCAACUUGGGUGCUGCAUUUCAAACUGGAAGUCUAGAGUGCAGGAGAGGAGAAUGGAAUUCCUAGUGUAGCGGUGAAAUGCGUAGAGAUUAGGAAGAACACCAGUGGCGAAGGCGAUUCUCUGGACUGUAACUGACGCUGAGGCUCGAAAGCGUGGGGAGCAAACAGGAUUAGAUACCCGGGUAGU
rnacentral:rRNA from 1 species